GUUUCUGUAGUUGAGUUACAACGAUGGUUUUUCAGACCAUAGGUCUUGGAUAGUGCCCAAGCAGGAAUU
rnacentral:tRNA from 1 species